GAAAACUGACCGAUAAUAAGUGUUUGGUUCAACUCGGAUAAGACAGUACGCAGUGUGUAUUUAUCCCCCGAGUCUAUGAUUAGGUUUAGGUAACUACUCUUCUUGCCAAAUGACCGUAGUGUGAUAUAUUUCCGACGGGCCCUGAAGGCAGCUCCGGGCUCUGGGCUGGACAGGAAGCGACGGAGACGCGCAGCGUGCGUCCUCGGCGGCUCCGGCACAGAAGAACGGGAAAGAGAAGGAGGGCGAGCGUGUAGACGAGGCAGCGUGUGGAAACAUGAGGAUAACGGGACCGUUUUCUUUUCGCUAGAUUCAUCUUUUAAACAGAUAACUACGCGCACCGGGAGGUUUUUUUUUAUUACCCCCCCCCCCCAUCCCGAGGUCGGCGGUGUUUGCUCCUCCCGCUGGAGAACAACAGGAGAAGAGAGGAUCUCCUUUGUGAAUCCGGCUUGAAUCUGAGCGCCUCGCCUGCACGACUGUGGAAAAUCCGGCUGAGGAGGAGAUCAGCUCCUGGGAAUUGCCACCAGCCGUCGCCUGCUUGUUAAGGUGGUCGGGACGAUAGUGGAAGGUCGGUUCGACGGCGCCGUGACCAGGUCGUUUGUUUGUUGGGUGCAAAGACCCCCAGCUCGUCACUUGACCGAGGGGCCUUUGAACACAAAGUCAACGCGAGUCCCUUGAGCCAAACAGUCUGGCGUUGGACACGUCGUCUGAGGAACAACGGUGGUGCCUGUAGGAUGUUUUACAAUCUGACUCGAUCGAUGCAGCUUCCCGGCGAGGAUCGGCUUCGUCACCUGACUGGCGCUUCACCCCAAUGCGCUUACUGUGCAAAGGCUCAGGGUCACUGCGAAGCCCCCAUCUUUUUCUGAGAGCAGACUGAGAUGCUGUUGCGUGUUUCUGAUCAAUAAAGCUCUCCGGUUGCAGCCAUUUCUGUACCGAUCAUGAUUGAAUUAAGGGAGCAUAUCUUCUGAAGGGAAGAGGGGGGAUGUUGAAACCGCACAGUCGUAUUUUUAAGGCUGUAGUUGUUGUUGUUGUUGCUGUUACCCAAUCAUUUUAUUAUGGUCUGUAUUGAAAUAGAACAUUCUGUAAUAGAAGAGAUGUUUGUGGUUCAUAUAAAAUAAAGCUUGUUUAUUGGAUGUUAUGGGUGUAGUCUU
ensembl:lncRNA